CCAAUAGCGUAUAUUAAAGUUGUUGCGGUUAAAAAGCUCGUAGUUGAAUUUCGGGGUUAGUAGGUUGGUCAUGCCUCUGGUAUGUACUGGUCUCACUGAUUCCUCCUUCCUGAUGAACCUUAAUGCCAUUAAUUUGGUGUUUUGGGGAAUUUGGACUGUUACUUUGAAAAAAUUAGAGUGUUUAAAGCAAGCUAACGCUUGAAUACAUUAGCAUGGAAUAAUGAAAUAGGACGUUCGAUCCUAUUUUGUUGGUUCCUAGGAUUGACGUAAUGAUUAAUAGGGAUAGUUGGGGGCAUUAGUAUUCAAUUGUCAGAGGUGAAAUUCUUGGAUUUAUUGAAGACUAACUACUGCGAAAGCAUUUGCCAAGGAUGUUUUCAUUAAUCAAGAACGAAAGUUAGGGGAUCGAAGACGAUCAGAUACCGUCGUAGUCUUAACCAUAAACUAUGCCGACUAGGGAUCGGAUGAUGUUAAUUUUUUAAUGACUCAUUCGGCGCCUUACG
rnacentral:rRNA from 1 species